rnacentral:lncRNA from 1 species
GCAAUUAUCUCUUGGUCCUACAGCAAUAGUUUCACCUGCGGGCACCUAUGAUCACACUUCAAAAUCCGUCCGUUGGCGACCUUAACGACAAACCUGCUGUAAUUCUCAAUAGGUAAGUUCAUAUGGACAGCAACCUUACUGUUUAGGAAGUUAUUAGUGUUGCCCGUGUCGAUGAGAACAGUGAUCGGUUGUUGUUUGAGAAGGCCUCCAACUUUCAUCGUUUGCGGGUUUGAGUAGCUAGCUAGUGUAUGUAUCGUAACUUCGGUCGAUU